CGUGCGCCAUGGCGGCCUCGGUGCGGCCGCGCUCUCUCCUCACCCGGUUUUCGGGGAAAAGAACGCUGCCCCGGGUCGGUUCGGUGGCACUGAGGUGGUUUGCUCCUCUCUCUGGUUUUCCUCGUAGGCUGCAGGGAGGGUUUGUAACGCGAGCGAGGCAGCGCGCUGGGUUCGUGUUUUUAAAUGAAGAGGCAAGUGUCCGAAGACUUGAAGAGAAGCUUUAGGCAGACCUUGUGGGCUGUACACAGUGGUUAUACCCUGCCGGCCAGCAGAAUUUAUUAUAUCUGCAGAUGAACAGACAAACUUCUUUUCCCACAUCUUAUUUCUCCUCGCCUCCCCUUCUGUAAGCUAAAAAACUCCAAUCUAAACACAGACCUUUCCUAGUGUAAAUGCUGAUGUUUCAUAAUGUAUACAUCUGUCAUGAAGAAUAACCUGCCUUCUGCAGUUCAGCUUGUAUAUGAUUGCUUUCAGCAUCAGGUAGAGAUGUGUUUAACAUUUUUCAUAGUGAUAUAAAGCCUUCAAAGCAAAAUUGAUUUUAGUGAUGGCGAUGAUAAAAUACUUAGAUUGUCAAAACAUCAUCAAAAUCACUGUGCAUUUUUUUGUGCAGACCUGUCUUUUUAUUUUUUUCAGACCUAGAUUAUCCUCCCCAGAUUUAGACUUUCAAGACUGAGGUCUGGAAGAGUACCAAACUGAUUCAGAAGCACAAAACCGGUUGUAAACAAUGAGGAGGAUUCUAGCCUGCUUGAUGCACUUUAGCUUUUUGGACUUUUGAAGGUUCCGUUUAUAUAGUAAGGAAGUUUGUAGGCUCUGAUCUAUCUUUUGUUAUCAUGGUUAGCCAUUUUAAGAUUAAAAGUUCUUAAUAGAAAAAUAUUUCAAAGUUUGAAAUUGCAGUAGUUCAGAAACUAAAGAAAUAACUAUUAAAUAUCCCAUUGGCACACCAGGAGCACAGAAUGGGAACAAUAUGAAAAACCAAGCAAUUUGGAUACUAUUCAAUCACAGUUGGCUUUAAAUAAAUAAUUAAAAAGAUUGGUGCUUGUU